rnacentral:ncRNA from 1 species
UCUUAUCUAGAGGAGUCGAGGGAUAUGGCCCUGUGACGCUCCGGCAACCAUCAAAUAUUGAACGGUGCCAAUGCCAUAGGAAUUUAUUCUAGUCGAUGAG